rnacentral:rRNA from 1 species
CCCUCACGUCCUUUUGUCUCGCGUUGUCGGAUGAGUGGCGAACGGGUUUAUGUUAAUACGUGAGUAACCUGCCCUUGACUCUGGGAUAAGCCCGGUGAAACUGGGUCUAAUACUGGAUGCUACAUGUCACCGCAUGGUGGUGUGUGGAAAGGGUUUACUGGUCUUGGAUGGGCUCACGGCCUAUCAGCUUGUUGGUGAGGUAAUGGCUCACCAAGGCGACGACGGGUAGCCGGCCUGAGAGGGUGACCGGCCACACUGGGACUGAGACACGGCCCAGACUCCUACGGGAGGCAGCAGUGGGGAAUAUUGCACAAUGGGCGAAAGCCUGAUGCAGCGACGCCGCGUGAGGGAUGACGGCCUUCGGGUUGUAAACCUCUUUCAGCAGGGAAGAAGCCACAAGUGACGGUACCUGCAGAAGAAGCGCCGGCUAACUACGUGCCAGCAGCCGCGGUAAUACGUAGGGCGCAAGCGUUGUCCGGAAUUAUUGGGCGUAAAGAGCUCGUAGGCGGUUUGUCGCGUCUGCUGUGAAAGCCCGGGGCUUAACCCCGGGUGUGCAGUGGGUACGGGCAGACUAGAGUGCAGUAGGGGAGACUGGAAUUCCUGGUGUAGCGGUGGAAUGCGCAGAUAUCAGGAGGAACACCGAUGGCGAAGGCAGGUCUCUGGGCUGUUACUGACGCUGAGGAGCGAAAGCAUGGGGAGCGAACAGGAUUAG